UACGGGGGGGGCAAGCGUUGUUCGGAAUUACUGGGCGUAAAGGGUUCGUAGGUGGCCAACUAAGUCAGACGUGAAAUCCCUCAGCUUAACUGGGGAACUGCGCCUGAUACUGGUUGGCUUGAGUGCAGGAGAGGAACGCGGAAUUCCAGGUGUAGCGGUGAAAUGCGUAGAUAUCUGGAGGAACACCGGUGGCGAAGGCGGCGUUCUGGACUGCAACUGACACUGAGGAACGAAAGCCAGGGGAGCAAACGGG
rnacentral:rRNA from 1 species